GGGGGUGGGACAUGCGCUAUGAACUCUCACUGCACACAGUCUCCUUCACACCAACAAAUGUGCAGUCUCCCUCACACAGACACGUGCGCACAGGCUCUCUCAUACGCACAUGGAUGCACACGUACAUGUCUCUAGUGGGUUAUGGAAUAGAGAAAAUCCCACACAAUUUACUGAUUCGUUUUGAUGCACUGGCUGGGGGAGUAGUUAGCUGAUUGCACGAUUUCACAAUGAUUACACACUUAAUUUAUACAACACAAUUUUAUUUUAAAACUCUUUGCUACGUAUAUAACACUGCUUAGCUUUAAGAAACACCACAAACAUUAAAAACACAAUAAUUACAUAUAUCAGAAACAAUGCUCCGAAUGCACUUUCUUCCCAAACAAUACUAUAAGAAUUAGUGUUACAAAAACAACUACAAUUACAACUAAAAGUUAAAUUUGAAUCAAUACUAUUAUUUUCAUAAUAUGCUCACAAUCCUAGAAUUCCGAGAAGCCAAAUACCAAAAUAUGGUUUCAUUCCUCAGUAGUACGAUUCAAUGGGUUGGCCUCAGUAGUACGGUUCAAUAGAAUGGGCUCGCCUCAGCAAUACAAUUCAAUAGGCUGGCUUCAGCAGUGAUAGGACUAAGUCCCCUGCCUUCAGUCCCUUUCAGGUGCUCCGCGGCUUCAGCGUGAACUAAGAGAUUCGUGUUCACGGAGAGGGUGGUUCAGGUGAUCAGUCUGACCCGGGCUACACUUGCCAUUUUUCCUUCGUUGGUCUACAAGUAUAGUCACCUCCAAACUGGGACAGUAAGUUACAGUUUUUAUUGAGUGAGCUGCCGUCAGUGGGCUCCUCCUACUCAAUCUGUCAUUACUCCGAAAUUUGGGCUCGGAUCUUACUCAACAGAUUCUUUUACCUUUGUUGAGCAUUUUAAAUUACCUUUGGGAAACUUCCAUAUCACUGCAAAUGCCCUUUUCUUACCAAUCUGGUCAAAAGGCCUUAGGGUUUGAUCUCUUGGAAUUCAGGAUAUUUGCUGUCUUUGUAAAAGAUUUCUAAAGAUGAAAUUUAAAUUAAGACUUUAAGCAAAGUCAGGACCUUUUGCAUGUAGUCCCCAAAACAAUGAACUAGAUAAGGAGAUAAAUCUUAUCUUCUUCCUGAAACUGGCUAAUGGGCAACCUUCACAAACAUUCAAACUAUUUCAUUCAAUAUGACAGUACACACACUCCUACCUGCACAGUGUCUCCCUGACACGUGCGUGCACACAGUCUCUCCCUCACACAUGUGCACACACAUGUAUGUACACAGUCCGUCUUGCACUCUUCUCCACACGCACAGAGUUGCUCUUGUGCUCCCCGGGCACUGGAAACCUGUCCAGCCUGAGCUUCUCUGAGCACACCCAGGCUUCCAGAAACCCAUGCACCGUUGGAUCCAGCAGGUGCUGCCUGUGAGCUGGCGCUGCACCCAUGCAGCUAGCACCCUGCCUGGGCAGCCCUGGGGGAAACUGCUGCCAUGGAGGGAAGCACCAGGCCCCCCUGCAACUCGGGGGCUGUGCAAUCCACAGCCGCUCAUACUGGCAUGCUCUGCUGAGGGGUGGGGAGGGAAGUGGUGGGGGCCUGAUCUCUUCCCCCCCCCCGAGCCUGCGUGCAUCUGUGGGCAGGCUCCAGAGCACUGUGGUUGUUUCAUUAAGCAUUGUGAUUAGCCGCUGAAAUAACCCAUCAGAGUGCUCUGGCCAGACAGAAUAAUUAUUAUGAUAGAUUGUUAAUAAAAUCUCUGCAGCCAGAAUGGGUAGGAUGGCUGUGCGCCGUUCUGCUGAACUGACUCCUUUCCUCUGGAAGGGGAGAGCUUAUAGAGGGGAUGACUGGUUCCUAUGGAGGGGGUGCGGGGUGGAAUAGAGCUGCUUCUGUAACUCUUUGGGUGGGAGUUGUUCUGCCCUCCAUGCUGUGAGGACUGUAAGUGAGUUGCCUGUAACUGGUUUUUUUUUUGGUUGUGGGGGACGGGGGUGUCUGUUGGCCUUUCUGCCAAAGUUUCUGGGGUCUGAGAAGCAAGUGUAAUGAAGAGACCUGGAGCUGAUGACUCGUGGAGGGUAGAGGAGGGAGCCUCCUGGGUUGCCCCAGAGCUGGGUGGUGUAAGCCUGGGUUGGGUUUAGCCUGCCUGCAAGUCCUUGUUCUUUUGUAAAGGCUGAAAAUAGCCUUUGAGUAUAUAGGUGGUUUCAGGGUUUGCCCCUGGCAUGUGGGUGCAGAGCUUGGCCUCGAGUGUGCUGAGGCAGAGGAGCGGGUGCUUGUGUCCCUGCCUGUGCUGCCACUGGCCUCCUUUCUGUUCUGGGAACUGCACUUUGUUCUGUCUCUCUGGGUUUGUCACUGGUCUUUCUUUCUAGUUUGAUUUUUUAAAACCACUGCAGCACUUCUUAUUCUUCCUUUGCUUUUCCCAGAGCUGAAAAGAGGGCCUUGUUGGCACCUAAACUGGUUCCCCGCUUUGGGGAGGGGCUUGACUGCACCCUGCCUGCCUUGUUUGGGGGCAUUGGCUGUGUGCUGCUUCUGGAGCCCUGGGUUGUGUGUGUGGGGGGGGGGUCGGGUCUUCACUUUAGUACUAUGAGAGAUGAGUAGUAAUAUAGUAGUUCCACGUAGUAAGUGCUUGUUGUUUUGGGGUGAUGCCAAUGUUUGGACCGUGAGCGGAAGCAAGCUGAGGUAGAGGUAAAGCAACCUAGAGCCACAACAAUUUAGGAGGUGGAGGACGCAGGCGACUGCACACCGGUGGUGACUUCUGGGUCACCUGGAAGGAGGCCUCUGCCCUUUUGCUGGAGUUGUGUGCAUGAGCAGAGAGGUGCCUGUGUACCCUGUGCAGAGAGGAAGGCAAUCGGAGAUGAGGCUGGGCUGGAGAAGGAGCAGAAAAAUGCCAGGUUGGGAUCCUGCCCUGUGUGGAGGGAAAUAAAUGCUGGUUCAGGGAGUGGAGCUGAGCAGUGCCCACGGAGGCUGAAGUAGGGGAAAUCGGAUGCCGCGAGGUGUGUUGGAGCUGGAUGGGCAGAUCCAGUAGUUGGGUCCUGGUGUGUGUGGAGGGAAAGGGUGAGGGCAAAGGGACUGAAGCAGACAAAUACUAACGGACACAGAAGAUCAGGAUGCUAGAAGGAGCCCUCUUGCCAAGGCUUCAGGACUAUGAAGCAGACACUGGGAAGAAGAGGUGAACAGCCCCAGAGAUGGCAGACGAGGAAAUGCACAGCUGUCUCGUGAUUUCCCUAUUUUGUGUGGUGUCAGUCCCCUGCCCAUGUGGUAUCACCUGGCUGUAACCUGCGGUCAGACUGUGUGUAUGGUGGUUGCUGUGGUGCAUUGCUUUUUGAUUGCCUGUGAGUAUCCAGCUCUGGGCAGCCGCAGACAAGCCUUUGAGAGCUCAACUACAGACUCCAUGUUGUGGGGAAGAAGGAUACAGGGAAUUGCUGUGCCAUGGUGAUGGAAGAUGAAGGAACAGAAUGCUUAAAGAGAGGAGCUGCGGUAGAGAAGAAGAGACCUAGAUCUGGCACCAAGUAGGAGGAGGUGGAGGAAGCAGGCGGCUGUGCACCCGUGGUCACUUUUGGGUCGCCAGGAGUGAGGCCUCUAUCUGUUGGCUGGAGCUGUGUGCAUGGGCAGAGCCUCCAGUGGGAUGGAAUCUUGCAGUAUUUCCAGUACACUCCGUCCUCAUGCUCUGCAAUGUAGCACCAUGGGCUGACAUCUCCAUCAGGGUUCCUGUCAAAGGAAGGAGAUGCAAAAAGAUGUCAAACAUUAAUGUACUUGUGAGCCGCAUGAAGACUCCCAAGUGUUGCAUUAGAUCUAAAGUUUCGUCACUACUGUUACUUUAACUUGCAUUGAGUGUUUCACCAGCUCUUAUGACUGAGAAGAAUGCAGAAGUGAGGCUACCACACUGUAAACCCUACUGCAUUAGUCGUAUCCUGUGACAAGCGCUUGAAUUAGAUUGGCAGAUCAGAAGAGGAACCACAGGACUGCAGGUGGGGCAUGUCUGCGUGGGAAACUUACUGUGCCAGUCAGUGGUGCCAUCGAGCAUACUGCACAGCCCGAUGUAAGCUGCCUCCCGAAUUGGAAGCCCUGUAGCUACGUGCAGUGCUGCAAAUGCUCAUUCAGCAGUGUGAAUUAGUCCAAGUGCCAGUACCAUUUUUGUCUGCCCCUGCAAUACUUAGGCUGCCAUUGGUGCUCCAUGAAGGUAGCUACACGUCAUCCAGGUUGGGAGGCAGGUCACGAAGAGCGGAGAGGUAUGUCUGAGGGUGCCAGUGCUGGACAUGGUCAAAUUACUGUGCGGACAUUGCUUUUGAUGCUGAAAUUCCUCAUCCAGCCUCAGCACUGUGGCACAAAUAAUGGGAACAGUCCGCACCCUUUCACUUUCAGUGCCAAACCACUGACCCCCCACAUGGUAUCAGGCAGGGAAGUAAAAUUCCUCACUAUUGUGGUCCCUAUGCCUAUGUUAGCUUAGAUGACUUGCAGCUAAUUCAGAUGCAAUUCCUAGGCAUGGGGUUUUCUUCAAAAACGGUGAAGGGAAAAGGUAAGUCUAGGUUGGGGAGGUCCAGAGUCGGAACUGGAAAGAGUACUGCUGGUCAAGGACAGGGCUGAGGACACAUGGCUGCCAACUGGCAAGGCUGAGGACACAUGGCUGGAAGAGCAGGGUCUGUUGAUGGUCAGGAUUGGAGAUACCUGGGAAGAGGUGCUGGAGGAGGAGGGCUCAGGACUAUGGCAAAGCAAAGGUUAAUAUUUGAUCUGGGCUAAGAUAUAGUGGAAGAAAGCAAGUGCGGUUCUGGGGGAUGGAGGAGACCUGCCAGCAGAGCAGCCUACCCUGUGGGAACAUGGUUAUUCCCUUCAGUUUGGCAGCUACAGAAACAUUGCUGGUGUACCUGUUAUAGGGAUAUAAAAUACUUUUAAGUACAUCUCCAUAAAUUGUGAUAAUAGGACUUCCUACAUAAGCAUCUUGAAAUGUAUGGGAAUAAUAGAUGUGGCUAGCAGCUUUGGAAACUGUGUACUUGGCUCCUUGUAGUAGCUGCAUGGAGACGAACAAGAAACGAGUCCUUCUGGUCUCCCAGUUCUGUUUUGGCUGAGCUGAGGUUUUGCAGAGUGUUUGAGAGAUUUCUGUUGUCAUGAAGCCACUGUGCAAUGAAAUCUUUGUCUUUGGCUUAGUGGCUGCUUGUGUAAAUGAAUGGUUAGCAUUGGACCUGACCAUGUACAUCCUGUUCUCUCAUCAGUUAUCUGAGGGUUUUGCGUGCUUUGCUCUAUGCGUUGCAGGACAGCCGUGUCUGAGGCAAAGGUGCCGGGGAAAGCUGUUAGUAGGGGUGUAGUGAGUAUGGCCUAUGAGGGCAUCAUCAUUCAAGGUGUUUCUUUUCUCCUGUCACUGCAGCUUUUCCAUUGGCCUCUCGCUGUUCACAGGUAGUUCUGAGGUUACCCAAGAGGUUCCCUCUUUGUGUAUGUCGCAGAGACUGUCAAGGUCCUCCACACUCGUCUUGUUGGGCUGAGGGCUGCAGGAAAGGUGUUUGUGGGGGGGAGGCCAUGUGGUUCCCUGCGGUAUGCCACUCUGUGAUUUGUGAGCUCGGAGAUGCCUGUGUUAAUGGGCUUCCAGCACGUUUUCGGGACGGAAUAUCCAGGUUUUACAGAGUGUGUGUGUCUCACUCUCUCUCUCUCUUGGUAUUUUAUUUUAUUCCUGAGAGGGGCUGAGGUGAUGUAAAAUGAGUAACUGCAUAAUACAAUCUAACAUUACCAUAAUACACUGCACAUCAAUGGCAAGAGAUCAGAGAACUUAAAAGGCACUGCUGCCAGCACAGCCACAGGCAGAUCCCCUUCCAGGUGUCCCUGCCAGGUGUUCCAGUCCUCUCUGUGUGUCACGAGGGCAUGUUUCAGUGCCUGCCUGUGUGCUGGUCUGUCCCACACUUCUCAGUUCCCAUCUUCCCCUGAUCCUUCUUUCCACGGAGUGUCUUACCCCCUUCCUGUAUGACCCACUCUUUGUCCAAACACUUCCCUAUUCAACAGUGAAUGUGACUGAAGUGGAACAAAGCCAAAGCAAGCAAAGGCACAUUUUCAAACUACAAUCUAGUAACAAUUCUCAUUCACUGAAAACAAUUCUGUGACUAUUCAGUGUUCCUAAGCACUAGGGACAAUGGUCCUGGGCAUGGGAGAGCCAGAGGUAUAGGCAAGGAUGAAAACCAUGCAAAAUGUCCAAACUCCUUGCCUCCAUGUACCUUUUCUGUACUACGUCCCUUUUCUGCUAACUUCUUCAAAUGUCUUUUAGGAAGAACACCAGUCGUUAUCUGUUGUGUCAGGUGGUAGAUUGGUUUGGUGAUGUGGGCUUUGUUAAGAACUGAGAAGAACCAAGUUCUAAAGCUGCCUGUGGCCUGAGUGAGGUGGAAGGGAUGUAGUUGCUGGUGUAAAGAUGUCUUUCUGAUUUCCCCAGCUCUGACAGCCAAGAGACCCUCCAGUGUGUCCCAUCCGCUUACUAUUUUUGGUCAAGGCUUAGAGGCCACCUUUACAGUGGGAUAUUUCUUACCUGCAGUAAUUGUGCUCCCCAAGCCCUCCUUCUCCAUUGGGGUAUUUCAGGGUAUUGUAAGGGUGCUGGAAGGUCUCAUUCCAAAAGAGACAAGGCUUCCCUGCAUGUAGAGAGGUUUGAUUCUGCGUGCCCCGAUAGUCCGCCCCAUUGGCUGUAUAGCAUUCUAGAAAAUGGAGAGAGAGAGAGAGAGUCACUUUUCUGCAAAGGAUCCCACUUUAAUUUCAUUUAAACAUUUUCUUCCAGCAGUUCAUGCUGUUAAAGACACUGUCCAAAAUGUACGGUUUUUUUGUCUUGAGUUAAACUUCUCUUGAUUAGUUCUUGUAUUACUGGCUUCAUUACUUUUAUUAAAUAUUUUAUACAACUUG